rnacentral:rRNA from 1 species
UACGUAGGAAGCGAGCGUUGUCCGGAUUUACUGGGCGUAAAGGGCGUGUAGGCGGAGCGGCGCAUCCUGGAGUAAAUCUAUCGGCUCAACUGAUAGGCUUUCUAGGAGAUGGCCGCCCUUGAGGACAGCAGAGGAAAGUGGAAUUCCCGGUGUAGCGGUGAAAUGCGUAGAGAGUCCGGAGGAACACCGACGGCGCAGGCAGCGUCCGUGGCCGCUUGCUGACACUGAGGCACGAAAGCUGGGGGAGCAAACAGG